rnacentral:lncRNA from 1 species
UGAGAUUAGGGAUUUAGGGUUUAUUAAUUAAUCCUAAUACACAUAAUAUCAUAUAUAUAUAAGAAAAGGAUUGCUAAGUACACCUGACAACUCAUCACACUACUAACUAUUGCUAAGUACACCCCCACCCCACCCCACCCCCACCCACCCCUCCCCCUCAAGAUGGAAAGUAAAUAUAUGACAAACCUAGCUUGCUACACAACUCCAACCGUGGUCGACAUAGUGGUUUGGUGAACUUAUUAGUAAGUUGUGCUCCAGUGGACACAAACGGAGUAACAAUAAUCCCCUUCUUAACUUGCUCACGAACUAGAUGAUAAUUUACCUCACGUGCAUAGUCCUCUCAUGGAACACAUGAUUGGAAACAAUAUGGACAAUGACCUGAUUGUUGCAAUACAUAUCGAUAGGUAACUGCACAUCGAACCUCAACUCCUUCGAGAAGUGCUCAAUCCACAUAAGUUCACAUGAGGUAUGAGUCACAGCCCUGUACGCAGCCUCUGUACUAGACCAGGCAACCAUUGUCUGCUUCUUACUUUUCCAAGUGACGGAGGUACCACCUAGAAAAGUAUAAUAUCCUACAAUAGACAUCCUAUCUGUAGGUGACCCAACCCAAUCAAAAUUAGUGAAAGUCUCGAUACGUAAAUGGCCAUGCAGUCCAUAGAACAAAUCACGACCAUGGUGUCUUGAGAUACCAUACAAUCCUCGAGGCUGCCUCCAUAUGGGUAAAACGAGGAGCAUACAUAAACUGACUGAUGACACUGACUGCAAAUGAAAUAUCUAGAUGUGUAAUAGUAAGGUAGUUUAACUUCCCCACCAAUCUCCGAUGACUGUUCGGACUAGACAACAGUUCAUAUUGCUUUACACACAACUUCACACUCUGAUCCAUAGGUGUCUCUACAGGAUUGGCUCCCAUAAAGCUGGUUUCCUUUAAAAUAUCCAGAGCAUACUUCCUUUGAGGCAAACUGAUUCCCUCCUUAUAUCGGACAACUUCGAUCCCCAAAAACUAUCGUAAACUGACCAAAUAUUUGGUGUGGAACUGUCCUUGAGGAAAAUUCUUUAAAUCAACAAUCCUUUGAGUGUCAUCGCCAAUGAUAAUAAUAUCAUCAACAUACACGAUCAAUAGAAUUCUUCCCUUCUCGAUCAUACUAGAAAAUACCGAAUGAUCAGACUGAGACCUGUGCAUGCCAAACUGUUGAACCGCCUCACUUAACUUUCCAAACCAAGCUCUCAGUGACUACUUAAGGCCAUAUAGCACCAUUUGAAGGCGACAUACACAACCACUCUCCUAUUGAGCAACAAACCUAAGAGGUUGCUCCAUAUAGACUUCUUUUUGAAGAUCAUAGUGAUUCACUUCCCCGGACACAAGGGCCACCCAAGAUUAGCCACGAGAGAUAAAAAUACGAAUAAACCCAAUCUUGGCAACAAAAGAGAAGGUGUCGGUGUAGUCAAUACCAUAAGUCUAGGUGUAGCACUUGGCAACUAGGCACACCUUAUAGCGCUCAACAGUCCCAUCUGGAAGGUAUUUCACAAUAAACACCCACUGACAACCAACAACAGACUUCUCAAGUAGAAGAGGAACCAUCUCCCAAUUACCAUUAUCAUACAAAGUUGUCAUCUCUUCAACCAUAAUUUGCCUCUAGCAAGGAAUAAACUGGGCGUUCGACACUGACUUAGGAACACAAGCAAUAAUGACAGAUAUGGUAAACACAUGUAAGGAAGGAGAUAAAUAAUCACAAAAGACAAACUGAGCAAUAGAAUGUGAAGUACAAGUAAUUUUACCCUUUCGAAGAGCAAUAGGAAAAGAGUCAAUGUUAUAGGCAACAUGAUAGGCAGUCACAAACAAGGAGUCGCCAGAGGGAGCCGAAGGCAGCGGUACAGGUAUCGGAGUAGUGGCCAUUUUAUUGCGACGAACAUAAACCUGUUGUGGUUUAAUCGGGGAACGGGGCAUUGAGGAAGCCGAGGCAUAGAAGGAACACGGGUAUAGAUAUAGUCCCUGGGGCCGCUAGGGGCAAUGGGAAAUUAGGGUAAGGACUCAUUGAAGGUAACAUCCGCACACACGAAAGUAUGCCUAAGCACAAGAGAAUAACACUUGUACCCUUUCUGAGUUUUAGAAUACCCAAGAAAAACACACUUAAUUGCUCGCGGAUUGAGCUUGUCAUGUGGUUGGAGGCACAAGAGUCAAUAACCCAAGGAAUAUGAGUAGAAACACAAGCGGUGGAAUUGUGGAAGCACCUGUCUAAGCUAGAGUAACAGUAGCAGGAGAGGAUUGCGCAGUCAGGAGACUAAUAGUCCUUUGUGGAGAUAGAGAUCAUCUAAUCUUCACAAAUGGAAACCUGAUGAGCAAUCGGAUGACCAUCCGGAUGUCCAUGGAGAUCCCAACAACGAUCAACAAUGUGAUUCUCUGGGUUGCAAUGAUUGCACUUUCAAGGACCAUGCCCACGUCCACUAGAAUCAUGGCUGCCAUGGCCAAACCUACAACUAACACGGAAGUAAUCACUCCUAC